rnacentral:tRNA from 1 species
ACAACUCUCCCUAAGACU